AGCUCAGGGGGAGAGCGCUUCCCUGACACGGAAGAGGUCACAAGUUCAAAUCUUGUA
rnacentral:tRNA from 1 species